GACGAACGCUGGCGGCGUGCUUAACACAUGCAAGUCGAACGGAAAGGCCCUGCUUUUGUGGGGUGCUCGAGUGGCGAACGGGUGAGUAACACGUGAGUAACCUGCCCUUGACUUUGGGAUAACUUCAGGAAACUGGGGCUAAUACCGGAUAGGAGCUCCUGCUGCAUGGUGGGGGUUGGAAAGUUUCGGCGGUUGGGGAUGGACUCGCGGCUUAUCAGCUUGUUGGUGGGGUAGUGGCUUACCAAGGCUUUGACGGGUAGCCGGCCUGAGAGGGUGACCGGGCACAAUGGGGCGGGAGUUAGGCCCCGGCUUAUACGGGGAGGAAGCAGUGGGAAUAUUGCACAAUGGGCGGAAGCCUGAUGCAGCAACGCCGCGUGCGGGAUGACGGCCUUCGGGUUGUAAACCGCUUUCGCCUGUGACGAAGCGUGAGUGACGGUAAUGGGUAAAGAAGCACCGGCUAACUACGUG
rnacentral:rRNA from 1 species